ACAGCAGUAGCCGCGGUAAUGCAAAGGGGGCUAGCGUUGCUCGGAAUUACUGGGCGUAAUGGGAGCGUAGGCGGACAUUUAAGUCAGGGGUGAAAUCCCGGGGCUCAACCUCGGAAUUGCCUUUGAUACUGGGUGUCUUGAGUAUGAGAGAGGUAUGUGGAACUCCGAGUGUAGAGGUGAAAUUCGUAGAUAUUCGGAAGAACACCAGUGGCGAAGGCGGCAUACUGGCUCAUUACUGACGCUGAGGCUCGAAAGCGUGGGGAGCAAACAGGAUUAGAUACCCCGGUAGUCCCUGUCUCUUAUAC
rnacentral:rRNA from 1 species